AGUAAGAUAAACUAUUGGGAAGUUAUUAGACUCAUAAUCUAAGUAGGAAGGUUCAAUCCCUUCUCUUACUA
rnacentral:tRNA from 1 species